rnacentral:rRNA from 1 species
UACGAAGGGGGCUAGCGUUGCUCGGAAUCACUGGGCGUAAAGGGUGCGUAGGCGGGUCUUUAAGUCAGGGGUGAAAUCCUGGAGCUCAACUCCAGAACUGCCUUUGAUACUGGCGACCUUGAGUCCGGGAGAGGUGAGUGGAACUGCGAGUGUAGAGGUGAAAUACGUAGAGAUUGGGAAGAACACCAGUGGCGAAGGCGGCUAUCUGGACGGUUUCUGACGCUAAGACGCGAAAGCGUGGGGAGCAAACAGG